AAUUAUCUAGCCAAGUUUAUAAUUUUCUUGAUUAGCGAGGUUCCUGUUGUUAACUUGAUGAGUAUUUAGCACUCCAUGGGGCAUUUAUUGUCAGUAUUUUAUGUUGCUUUUCUGUUUAUUUUUUGUUUCCUUAUCCUGCCACUUUUUGCAUUGACAUAAAGAGGUUAAAGAGGUUCUUGUUCACUUUUAGAGUGAGGGUCUAUGGUAGUUGUUUAGGGUUUAGUUGCUUUAGAUCUCAAGACAUCUAGCAAUGAACAAGGCAGAAUGGCCAAAAUGGAUUAAUCUAGCUGAUCCCAAGUUUACUGGGGAUAUGUCUUAGUUUCUGUUGUAGUUUUAUCUUGCUACUUUUUC
rnacentral:lncRNA from 1 species